rnacentral:rRNA from 1 species
GCCAGAACCUUACCAGGAUUUGACAUGGGAGGACCGGUACAGAGAUUUGCUUUCCGCCAGGACCUUCCGCACAGGUGUGCAUGGCUGUCGUCAGCUCGGUCGUGAAUGUUGGGUUAAGUCCCGCAACGAGCGCAACCCUCGCCUUUAGUUGCCAUCAUUUAGUUGGGCACUCUAGAGGAACUGCCGGUGACAAGCCGGAGGAAGGUGGGGAUGACGUCAAGUCCUCAUGGCCCUUAUGUCCUGGGCUACACACGUGCUACAAUGGUGGUGACAGUGGGAAGCUAGGCGGUGACGCCGUGCUGAUCUCUAAAAGCCAUCUCAGUUCGGAUUGUACUCUGCAACUCGAGUACAUGAAGGUGGAAUCGCUAGUAAUCGUGGAUCAGCAUGCCACGGUGAAUAC